rnacentral:rRNA from 2 species
GGGUGGCCAAUACAUGCAAGUUCGAGCGGAGUUUUGAAAAGCUUGCUUUUCAAAACUUAGCGGCGGACGGGUGAGUAACACGUGGGCAACCUGCCCUUGAGACGGGGAUAACUCCGGGAAACCGGAGCUAAUACCGGAUAACACAUAUCUUCGCAUGAGGAUAUGUUAGAAGGUGGCUUUUAGCUACCACUCAAGGAUGGGCCCGCGGCGCAUUAGCUAGUUGGUGAGGUAACGGCUCACCAAGGCGACGAUGCGUAGCCGACCUGAGAGGGUGAUCGGCCACACUGGGACUGAGACACGGCCCAGACUCCUACGGGAGGCAGCAGUAGGGAAUCUUCCGCAAUGGACGAAAGUCUGACGGAGCAACGCCGCGUGAGUGAUGAAGGUUUUCGGAUCGUAAAGCUCUGUUGUUAGGGAAGAACAUUUCCUGUUAAAUAAUCAGGUACCUUGACGGUACCUAACCAGAUUGCCACGGAUAACUACGUGCCAGCACCGCGGUAAUACGUAGGUGGCAAGCC